rnacentral:tRNA from 2 species
AUUUAAAUAGCUUAUAGAUUAGAGUAUAAUAUUGAAGAUAUUAGGGAGAUUAAUUAAUCUUUAAAUA